GCCCGGCUAGCGCAAUGGUAGCGCGUAAGACUUCUAAAGUUUCUUUGAUUCAUGAAAAAAAUGAAAAAAUAUAUGAAGAGAAGGGUUUAGUAAAAAGUAAUCUUAAGGCUGCGGGUUCGAAUCCCGCGUCGGGUU